rnacentral:rRNA from 1 species
CCCUUAGAUGUUCUGGGCCGCACGCGCGCUACACUGAUGCAUUCAACGAGCCUAUCCUUGACCGACAGGUCCGGGUAAUCUUUGAAUCUGCAUCGUGACGGGGAUAGAUUAUUGCAAUUAUUAAUCUUCAACGAGGAAUGCCUAGUAGGCGCAAGUCAUCAGCUUGCGUCGAUUACGUCCCUGCCCUUUGUACACACCGCCCGUCGCUCCUACCGAUUGGGUGUGCUGGUGAAAUGUUCGGAUCGGCCGUUUGUCGCGGUUUCCGCGGCUCGGGGCUGAGAAGUUCAUUAAACCCUCCCACCUAGAGGAAGGAGAAGUCGUAACA